CCUUAUGCUAAUAAAGGUUAGCUUGAUUAGUCAAUGGCGUCUUCAAAAGUAUUCUCAAUAAAUGUCUAUUUUCUGGUUUAUUUUCAUGCAUAAGGCACACUGAAUUAUAAGGCUCAUUUUAAGGGACAAUAUAAGAAACUUCAAACUCAGCAGGUCUCGCCACUUGGUGGUGGUAGUGGGUAGCUAACUAAGUUAAGUGAAGCUAAGCUAAGCAAACAAAACUUAAAAAAAAGACAGUCAUACUGAGCACUGGAUGUUAACCUACACGGAUUUCUCUCCUGAAAACUGUUUAUGUGGCUUGACUGAAUUAUAAGCUUCCAGACUGCUGGAUAGAUGAUGAGUGAUUGGAGAUGUGGAGAAACGCUGCUGUUUCUUUCUCUGCUCUGGUUUCUGUUUAUUUAUCUCGGGCUGAAUGCUCUCAGGGAGCCGGUGUGAACUCCUCUCUCCGUGGGUUGAAUUACAAAAACCAGUACCUCUCUUUCCUACCGAUCCUCCUCCUCUCCUCCUCUGGUGCCAUCUUGCCGCCUGUCUGAAUACUGGAAAAGACAAAAGAACCCUAAAAUCCUCCCUGAAGAGGCUUCCAACGGAGGAUACAUCACAGUAUCCUACCCAGGAAAUGUUUUAAAGAUUUUGGAGUGACAUCACUGUGACCACGCCCACAAAGUACCUGAGCACUUUGUUUUUUUAAUUAAAUUAAUUAUUUAUUAAUGCAUUUAUUUUUAAAAUUGUUGAAUUGUGUAUGCGUAGGAAUAAUACAACUUUAAAUAAAAAAUAAAUUAAUAAUUAAUUAAUAUGAUAA
rnacentral:lncRNA from 1 species